AUUGAACGCUGGCGGCAUGCUUUACACAUGUAAGUCGAACGGUAACAGGUUAAGCUGACGAGUGGCGAACGGGUGAGUAAUGCAUCGGAACGUGCCCGGUCGUGGGGGAUAACGCAGCGAAAGCUGCGCUAAUACCGCAUACGAUCUGAGGAUGAGAGCGGGGGACCGUAAGGCCUCGUGCGAUCGGAGCGGCCGAUGUCAGAUUAGGUAGUUGGUGGGGUAAAGGCUCACCAAGCCAACGAUCUGUAGCUGGUCUGAGAGGACGACCAGCCACACUGGGACUGAGACACGGCCCAGACUCCUACGGGAGGCAGCAGUGGGGAAUUUUGGACAAUGGGCGAAAGCCUGAUCCAGCAAUGCCGCGUGCAGGAAGAAGGCCUUCGGGUUGUAAACUGCUUUUGUACGGAGCGAAAAGGUCUCCUCUAAUACAGGGGGCUCAUGACGGUACCGUAAGAAUAAGCACCGGCUAACUACGUGCCAGCCGCCGCCGUAA
rnacentral:rRNA from 1 species